rnacentral:misc_RNA from 1 species
GAUGAAGAACGCAGCGAAAUGCGAUAAGUAAUGUGAAUUGCAGAAUUCAGUGAAUCAUCGAAUCUUUGAACGCACCUUGCGCUCCUUGGUAUUCCUUGGAGCAUGCCUGUUUGAGUAUCAUGAAAUCCUCAAAGUAAACCUUUUGUUAAUUCAAUUGGUUGCUUUGGACUUGGAGGUCUUUGCGGAUUAACAUCUGCUCCUCUUAAAUUUAUUAGCUGGAUCUCAGUAUAUGCUUGGUUCCACUCGGCGUGAUAAGUUAUCACUCGCUGAGGACACUGUAAAAGGUGGCCAGGAAAUACAGAUGAACCGCUUCUAAUAGUCUAUUAAAUUAGACAAUUAAUUUUAAGAUCUGAUCUCAAAUCAGGUAGGACUACCCGCUGAACUUAAGCAUAUCAAUAAGCGGAGGA